rnacentral:rRNA from 1 species
UGAAGCCGGAAUUGCUAGUAAUGGCAGGUCAGCAUACUGCCGUGAAUACGUUCCCGGGCCUUGUACACACCGCCCGUCACACCAUGAGAGUUGGGAAUACCCGAAGCCUGUGAGCUAACGCAAGAGGCAGCAGUCGAAGGUAGAAUCAAUGAUUGGGGUGAAGUCGUAACAAGGUACC